AGAAAACAAGCACAGGCAAACUGGUGCACUAAUCCAAAAGUCCUCCAAAGUACCUCUCCUUUUCUUUAACAUUCUGGCAUGGCAGAUGUCUUUACUUUUGACUCACUGGUAGUGAGCCAGGGAUAGUUCUUUUUUUUUACUUGGAUCACAGUAUAUAGUUUCAAAAAGGGAGAAAGCACAAUUAAAAUGGCUUAAGGUGUAGAGCUAGAUUAUUUACAGGGCACACAGGUAAAGAUGCGGACGCUAUGAUGGUGUAACUGUUCUGAUAGAGUGUGCCACUCACCAUUAAAAUUGCAAAACACACUACAUAUUGCAGAAACUUCAUUGUCCAGUGGUAGUCUCCAUUUGACAGGAUAUCUGCUCUAACCGGCAGCUGUGCAGCCAGCCUUCAACACUUAUCCUGGCAGUUCACAGCUCCAGGGGGACUCUGCUCUAGAACUUACAGACGGUGCAGCUGAUGCACAGCUGGAUGCUGCUAUGGAUAAGGCUGUCUGCUCCCCAUGAUGAAUGAUGUAAAUACUACAGUAGUCAAACUGAGAAGAGCUGGCCCUCUUCUCGUACAUAUUAUCGGUGUUGAAUCCUCACACCUUCCCAAAGGUUUGCAUUGACAGGUGGGACAUGACAAAACUCCUUGAGAAAACCUGGAAGUUAUGUCAGAGACUGUUGUCACAGACUUUGCCAUCCCUACAAAGGACCCUUGAUGGUAACAGAUCCCACAGCGACCACCCUGGGUGAAAUUAAAGAGGCGAGAAAGUUAAUGCGAACCCCAUGCCAAGGCCUCCCUCACUUAUUUAGGUUGGUGUCAGCAUUUAAGAAACCGCAACUGUCGUCUGUAACUCUAAAAAUUACCUGCAGCCCCUGGAGCCUCAGCCACCAACUGUGCUAAAUGAUGAUUUUCCAAGACCGAUUGAAAGUAACUACAUGCAGUGACGAGAAGGUAUUGGCACUGACAUUAUCUGUUGGGGAAUAGUGUUUAUUUACAGCUGUGGUGUGUGAUUAGUAUGAAGAGAAAUAUUAAGUGAUAUUAUUUUUCACAAAUUUCCCCAUUUUAGAAAAUAACUGCUGUAUGAUAAUUGAGUAAUGUAUUAUAAAAAGACAAG